ensembl:lncRNA
GUUACUGAAAGAACUUCACAAGAGGAUCAUCUGAAAUAAACCAAAUUUUUAUCCAUUUCUGUUCAGAGAAAAAUGUAGCAGCCCAUUGAGGAAGUUGUUGAAGCUGGGCCUGAUUGUGGGACCUGCUUGACAUGGCCUGGUUGUUGCGCCUGAUUCUUCUGUUGGCUCUCUGUUACCUGGCGCUAACAUCAAGGAAAAACUUGAUAAUCACUCAGAGUCCUGCAGAAGACCAGGAGGUCCAAGUAAGACAAUCUGUUGAAAUAACCUGCUCUUGGAAUGUCUCUUCUGAAGUGGAACAGUUUCGAGUUGAAUGGAAAAAACUGAACCAUCUCAAAGACAGUGUAACCAGUCCAAGGGUUCGAGGCCAGGAAAUUCUCAUUCAGAAGCAUUUGUACAAUUCCACUGUCAGUCUACAAUUCAGUUCAGGGCUCAGGAAGGAAUGUCUAAGACUGGAAAACGUGAACAUAAAUGACUCUGGACUUUAUAUCUGUGAAAUAACAAUUGAAAUACCUAUAUUUGGGCAAGGAAAAGGAAAUGGAACUUUUCUGACUGUGAAAGAAAAGGAUGAAAAAUCAAAAGAAAAAUGGCUCUGGUGGGCUUUGGCCAUCUUUCUUUUGCUAAUAUGUAUCUGCUUGAGCUAUUACUGCAAGAAGCAAAGGAAUUCAACCAGAGUUGAGGCCAACAGAACUGACCAGGAGGAAAGAGAAGAAGAUGAAUAUAUUAUCAUGGAAAAAAAACAUAAGAAAGUAGAAAGAACCCUAUCUAAUACAACAGAAUGGGCUGUUUCUGUCCUUUAUGAACCCAUGCACUCUUUUGCUAAGAAGCCAGUUGAAUUGAAGGAUAAUGACAUCUACACUUUAAUCUAUUCAAAUUCAUUAAAAGCACCGAAUACAGAGCCAUCAGCCGUUGAACUCACCACCAGCACUUGUGCUCCAGAAGCACCCAGAGAGGUACAAGGGAAGGAAAGAAGCCUAAAUGUCAGUUAUAAAUAGAGUUCAUUCUCUUCAGCUAGUACCAACUUGACCUCAUCCACGAUCCAAAAAAAGCAAGAGACCGGUGUCCAAGAAAACAAAGAAUACGAAGUCCUAGAAUAUCAUCUAAUUAAUCCAACCUCUCCAUUUGCAAAGAAGAAAACUGAGGCUUAGAAUGGAAAGAAAAUGACUUCUUUCAGGUCUAGUGAGUCAAGAUCAGGACUCAAGUCCCCUUUCCAGAGCUAUUAAUUUGGACUUCAAUAGACACUAGAUCUGUCUUUCUCCUGAUGGACUAGAGCAUCUGAGGAAAUCCUUUGAAUGGAAAGUACCCUUCAGGAAUGGGAAGAGCUGACAGGUACUUCACCUCAGCUGAGCUGGAGGUUAAAUAAAGCCAUGGAUAAAGAUUAAACCUGUGAUUCAUUCUACAGAGAAUCCCAGGUGAAGAAGCUCUCUUUACUCAUGCAGGUGGGAAUCUGCUCUGAAAUCUCAUCUCAUUGAGUUGCUUAGGGCAAUGAGACUUGCCCAGAGUCACAAACUAUUAUGUGUGAGAGGCAGAAUUUGAACUUAGAUCUUUCUGGCUUUCUAUUCACUAUGUUAUGGAUAUUCCCCAUUAAAUGAUUGUAAAUUACUUGUGUCAGCUAGAGUCAGGAUGAAUUAAAGUCCUGGUCUUUAGGGGGAGAAGUGAAGGAGGCAGGCAAGCAGAAUCCUUGAUUCUGGAGUCACCAAUUUCUCUCCUCCUUGUCCUGCUGCCAAGUGACUCUGGCCCCUCUUUCCUGGCACUCAAAUCCUUGCCUAUGAUUAUCUUAACACCAAGCAUUAAGCAAGCACCAGCGGUGAGAAGAGCCAUUUAUCCAAAUAUAUGCUAACAGAGUCAUUGUCUCACAUCAAAUAAGUAAUUAUUAGCCUUAUGUGCUCAGUUGUCUGAUUUAAGCAUACCUUUUUGAAGUUUCAGCCUUCUACAAAUGAUGCUGCUUGGACAUGUGCCUCCUUGUUUGAUUUCUGAUUAUUCUUUUAGUUUUGUUCUCUCUGACUUUUGAGCCAAAGCUUUUAAAGCUUACCAGUGCACUCCUGCUUGGUCCUUAGUCUAUACCUUUACCUGGUUUAAUAUUUCUGUCCUUGGACAUUGGCCAGUUUUUGGAUUUUGCUAUGGCCUCCUAGGUGCUCUCCCUCCAGGGCAGGUCUCCAUUUUUGGUAUCCACCCUAAGAAGAUCUUCCACCCUCUAUUGUUCACUUGCAGACUGCUGAUUAACCAGAGGUCUGAUACACUCACUAAUCUCGUAAGGUCUCUUGUUACUUCUCAUCUCCAAUUAAUAUAUUUAAUUAGUACAGUUAGUACAGUGUGGGAAGAAUCACCAGGAUUCAUAGAACUGACACCAAACUCACAGAACCAGAGAAAUCCUUAGAGAUCAUCAAGAUCUACCUAUAUCUGAACUGGCAAUCCCUCUAUGACAUCUGAAAUCAGUGGUCAAUCAAGGUUUUGUUGGAGGACUUCCAGUAUUGGAGAAUCCUGAAGGGAAGUGAAAAGGUCUAAAGUGCCAUAUUUAAAAUGCUUCAAUAUUUCAAAAAGUCCAUGAUUUCAUUUGUGUUAGUACUCAAUCACAUAAACUGGUUUAGUCAAAAAUCUUCAUCAGCCAGUAGCCAGUGGGAUGAAUCAUUCUGCUAUUUAAGUGCCUUCCCUCACCGCCAUCCUCACCUCCAAUCCUUAGUGGGAAUAGCCUCAGUUCCUAUGAAACUUCCUUAGCUCAUCUUUUGCAUUUCUGUCCUUCAAUGUGUCCAAGUUUCUUUUGUUUUUUUUUUUUUGUUUGUUUGUUUGUUUUUUACUUACUGUAUGAAGCCUUUCCUUCCCCCCUCCCCCCCCAGCUGCUAGUGAUCGCCUUCUCCACUCUAUCCCAUAAGCCUGUGAAGAAUGCAGCCCUGAGUACGAUGCCUAAUGGAACCAAAGCAGCUUCCCUGGAGAUCAGCUUUUCCACCUGAGAUUGCCAGAGAGUUCACUCUUAACUAUUUUCUAAAUUUCCAUGGAUCCAACAGAAUAUAGUAACAAAAUCUUGGCUUUGAAGUCAGAAGACCUGGCACUGAAUCCUAAUUCUGUUGCUUACUGGGCAAGUUUGUGGAUUCCAGGUUGAGUCUGAGGAUUCUUAGACCCUCCCUGGACUAGCUCAGUUUUCUUUUUUUUUUUUUAAUUUUUAUUUUUUGAAGUAUUAUUUAUUUUUAUUUUUUAUGAUAGACUCUUUUUAAAAAUUAAAGCUUUUUAUUUACAAAACAUAUGCAUGGAUACCUUUUCAACAUCAAGCCUUAUAAAACCUUGUGUUCCAUAUUUUCCCCUCCUCCCGACCCCCUCCCUUAGAUGGCAGGUAAUCCAAUACAUAUUAAAUAUGUUAAAAUAUAUGUUAAAUCCAAUAUAUGUUUACAUAUUUAUACAGUUAUCUUGCUGCACAAGAAAAAUUGGAUCAAGAAGGAAAAAAAACUGAGAAAGAAAACAAAAUGCAAGCAAAUAACAACAGAAAGAGUGAAAAUGCUAUGUUGUGAAUCACACUCAGUUCCCACAGUCUUCUCUCUGAGUGUAGAUGGCUCUUAGUCACAAGAUUAUUGGAACUCAUCUAAAUCAUCUUAUUGUUGGAAAGAGCCACAUCCAUCAAAAUUGAUCAUCACAUAGUCUUGUUGUUGCUGUAUACAAUGAUCUCCCGGUUCUACUCCCUUCACUUAGCAUCAAUUCAUGUAAGUCUCCCCAGGCCUCUCUAAAAUCAUCCUGCUAAUCAUUUCUUUUAGAAUAAUAAUAUCCAUAACUUAUUCAGGCAUUCAGGUAUCCACUCAGUUUCCAGUUUCUUGCCACUACAAAGAGGGCUGCCACAAAAAUUUUUGUACAUGUGAGUCCUUUUCUCUCCUUUAAGCUCUCUCUGGUAUAUAAGCCCAGUCAAUAUAAGCUGGAUCAAAAGGUUUGAUAACUUUUUGAGCAUAGUUCCAAAUUACUCUCCAUAAUGGCUGGAUCCAUUCACAACUCCACCAACAAUGCAUCAGUAUCCCAGUUUUCCCACAUCCCCUCCAACAUUCAUCAUUAUCUUUUCCUGUCAUCUUAGCCAAUCUGAAAGGUGCGUAGUGAUAUUUCACAGUUGUCUUUAUUUGUGUUUUGUCUGAUCAAUAGUGAUUUAGAGCACCUUUUCAUAUGACUAGAAAUCACUUUAAUUUUUUCAUCUGAAAAUUGUCUGUUGGUAUCCUUUGACCAUUUAUCAAUUGGAGAAUGGCUUGAUUUCUUAUAAAUUUGAGCCUCAGUUUUCUUAUCUGUAAAAUUAAUUAUUGGACUAGAUAAUCUUUGAGGUACUUCUAAUCUCUGAUUCCUAUGAUGCUUCCUGUUCUAAGAGGAUAGAGUCAUAGUGUCCAGCUUUCCUCACAGCCUGAAGGAAAAUAACAUCUUUUCUUUUAGAGCAAGUUUUGGAAUUCUUCAGCACCGGUCUCUGUGAUUGAUUCAUUCUUCCACUACCAAGAUCUCAGCUAAUCAAGAAGCCUCCUGAUGGCAUAGUUAGUCAGCAUUGGGUAUCACAAUUCUACACUACAAGUUGUUCAAUCAUUCCACUAAUAGGAUAUCUAACAGAGUCCAAGCUGAGAGGACAAGAGAGUAACACAGUCAGACCUGAACUUUAGGAAGACCAUUUUGUUGGAUAAAUAGGUAAAAAGGACAAUAGCAUUUAUUUCAUAUAUAUAUGGGUGGAUAUAUAGAUAUAGAUAUAUACUUUAUGUGAAGAUAAUAGCACCUAUUAUAUCUCUGUAUAUCCAUACAUAUAUAAUAAUAUGGGAUAUAAAAAUAGUUCCCAUGGUUGUAAUGAAGGUCAAAUGACAUAUAUAAAGUCCUUUACAUUUUAUAUAUUACACAUUUAACUAUCAUUAGUAAUAGUCAUAAAAAUGACAAGUUGUAGAGGGUCUCUUGGAUUUCUUCUAGCAAUACCAUUUUCUAUUCCAUUCCUGGUUCUGCCAUUAGCCAGUCAUAUGUCUCUGACCAAUUCAUUUUCCCUCUCUGAAUCUCACUUUCCUUCUCUGUAAAAUGAGGGUGUUAGACUAAAUGGACCUAGAUGAUUUCUGAGGUCCUUUCCACCAAGAGCAUUCUAGGACUGUGAUUCUAAUCCUACAAAUCUAGCUACAAUUUCUGUAUCCCACUAGAGAUAAUAAUUUUCAUGGUCCUUUUAGUGAGAAAUAAAAUAAGGGUGGAGCAUCUGGGUCUUUGUCCUAGGACAGAAAAUUUAGGGAAUAUCAAAAGCACUUACUUGAAGGGACUUCUGCCUAUUCCCACAGAAACAGAGACUGCAGCCUAGUUCUGAAGAUGCUUCCUCCCUUCAGAAGCUUAGAGAUCUAUUAGAUUUCUGAAAAUCAAGAAGUAACAACACCAGAAGCUCCUAAUUUUUCCUGAUUCCUUUAAGGUUUUCAGUAGAUAGAAGCAGAUAGAUGGAUAAAUGGAUGGAUGAUAGUGAGAUAGAGAGUUAGAUAGACAGAGAAAACAUUUGUUAAGCUCUUAACUCUCUGCCCAACAGUGUACUAAGCAUUGGAUACAAUUUCAGGCAAGGGAGACCAUCUAUUCUCUCAAGGAAUUUACAUUCUAAUGGGUAAAGGCAACACUGAAAGGGAGCCAGAAUAGGAAUGGUGCAUGGGACAAUGCUGUAGAAAUAACCAAGAAGCAGAUGCCUUUCUAUUCUUUUCUCCCUGUUAAUUUUGGGGCAUUCCCUCUAUACCCACAUGCUGUCCUCUGGGCAAGUCUCCCCAAUUGUUCCAAGUGCAGAAAUUAUUAGCUUUCGUUCCACCUUUGUUUCAGUGGCUUCCUUGAGUCCAUUUCGUACCAGAGAGUGCAAGGGAGAGUUGCUUCAUCAUAGUAAUCUAGCAAUGUACAAGAAGAUAAUGAGUAAAUAUACAAUUGCCCUUUCACCUGACUCUGUGGAAAUGAAGUUCUCCUAAAAGAAAACUACUACAAUGGAAGUAGAAAACUACUCCAGUGGACCUACAUAGGUCAGUCAGGGAAGGUGUAACAUUGCUAAGUCACAAGCAUAGCCUGGCAGAUCAGACUAUGGGACUGAUAAAUCCCAUGAGACGUGCCCAAAGAAAAUGGCUCCAUGCCACUUAUUUUGUAUGCUCUGACAUCCAGAACAAUAUAGUACAGUGGAAAGAGCAAUGGUCACAGAGGAGGUCUAGUUCAGCAAGUAACUAGCUUUAUGACCUUGGGCCAAGUAUGGCUCUCCCUGAACAUCAGUUAUCUAUAAAAUGAAGGUGUGGAUCCUUUCUUUCCUGUCACUCAAGAAGUUCAUUAAAGCACUUAUAACAUUCUCAAAGGUUAAGCUAAACUUUGUUCUCCUUCUAAUAAACAAGAGAUUGACCAUAAAUUUAAGUUUAGAAAAGAUUGAAGAUAUCAUCUCAACUAACUUCCUUCUAAGCCUGAGGAGGAAAAUGAAGCCCAAAGAAGUUGAAUUUUCCAAGUUUAAAUAGGUAAUAGAUCCAGGAUUUGAACUGGAGUCCUCUGAUCUAAAUUUCACACUUAAAAAAAAAGAAACAAAUAAAUUUUAUUGACAUCUUUUGUUUUUACAAAGGAUAAAUUGCUCCUUUUAGUCAUCUUCCAUCCCAAAGAGCAACUCCUUUUAAUAAUUUUUUAAAAACUAUAAACAAAGAAAAAAAGAGGAAGAAAAUAAGAAUUUAAUAAGACUGAUUAAUUGAAACCAAUAUACUGUAUUGAAAAAAUCUAAUGCUAUAUGCAAUUUUCCAUAUUUUUGGACAUCCCAUCCUGCUUUAGUUAAAGAGUGAGGAAUGGAGUUCUCUCAUAUCUAAUCUUUAGAAUCAUGAUUGUUUUUUGUAAUUUGCAACACUCAAUUUUUAAGAUUUUCUUUUUUUUUCUUUUUUCCACUUAGUUUAUUUUAAAUAUGCAUUGCUUUAUGAAUCAUGUUGGAAGAGAAAAAUCAAAGCAAAAAAAGAAAAAUCAUGGGAGAGGGAAAAAAACAGAAAAAAGAAGUGAACAUAGCAUGUGUUAGCUCUUUUUCUAGGUGCAGAUGGCAUUUUCUGUCCAAAGUCUAUUGGGAUUGCUUUGGAUCACUGAACCACUGAGAAGAACCAAGUCUUUCAUAGCUGAUCAUUGUACAUUCUUGCUGUUACUGUGUACAAUGUAUUCCUGGUUCGGCUUGUUUCACUCAGCAUCAGUUCACAGAGAUCUUUCCGUGCUUCUCUUUAUUCAUCCCACCCACCAUUUCAUACAACACAGUAAUAUUCCUUACAUUCAUGUGCCACAAUUAGUUUAACCAUUCCUCAAUUGAUAAGCAUUUGUUUUAUUUCCAAUUCUUUGAAAACAGAAAAGGUGCUGCUUUGAACACAUUUUUGCUUAUCACAAAAAGUACUGCUUUAAACAUUUUAUUGUAUAUGGAGCCCUUCACAUAUCAGAAAUGUUGGGAAGGUAGACACAAGACUUGGUAAUAGACUCCUGAAAUUUUUUGAAAUUCUGAAAUUUAGAAAUUUUUGAAGAAAGACUUUAAGAGUAUUUGAGUACUAGUUAAACCAAUGAAUUCAGUGGGAAAUAAGAAAAUGAAAUGAUUAGCUGUGUGACCCUGGGACAAGUCACUGAAUUCUAGUUGUCUCAAAAAAGAAAGAAAGGAAGGAAGAAAAGAAGAAAGGAAGAAAGAAAAAAGAAAGAAAGAAAAGAAAAGAAAUGAAAUGAAGUGAAAGGGUUAGUAGAAGGCUUCUUAAGCCUUUUCCAGUUUUACCAUUUCUUGCUCUCUUUUCUCAUAUCUUCCCAAUUCUGCCUCUAAAUAGAAAAGAACCAUAAGCUUUAAAACUAACCUAAUAACCUGUCAUUUUUAUGACUAUUACUAAUGAUAGUAAUAAGAUAGUAAGAUAGAUAGUAAGAUGUCUAUAAAGCAAAAAGGACUUUAUACAUAUCUUAUUGACCCUAAUUACAAUUGUGGAAACUCUUUUUAUAUCCCAUAUCAUAUAUAUGUAUGUAUAUAUAUUACAUAUAUGUAUGUGUGUAUAUGUAUAUAUAUGUAUAUAUAUAUAUAUAUAUACAUAAUAGAUACUAUUUCAUAUUGUCUUUAACCCAAACAAUAUGGGUUGUCUCAAUAUCAGAAAAUGGAAGUAAUUUCAAGGUCACCCUGCAAGUUAAUGGCAUAGUGAAGAUUAGACCUAAAGUCUCAUUACUGCAUUGUUCUUUCCACUAUAGCAUACAAACCAGGAUCUUAGGAUAUUAGAACUGGAAGGAUCCUUAGGGAUCAUCUGUUCCAGUCUCCUAAUUUUAUAGAUAAGCAUAUGGUAUCUACCCCAGGAAAGGGAAUUAAUUUUUCUAAGAUCACACAGAUGGAUAAUCAGUAACAGUACCUAGAUCCAAAAGACAGAUCUUCUGACUCCAAUUAACUAUUGAAAUAAAAUGAAAUUGUGAAGAAAAGUCCAGGUCAGGAAAACCUUUGCUUCCCAAACACUUCCCCCAUAUUUCUGAGGUCUAUGGAAGUGAACACUAGAUUAGGGUCUUUUAAGGUGAUUAAGAGACCCAGGGUGUCAUUAUGUAUAAACUGAAGUAACAUAUAAAGGUAUUUAAUAAAUGCUUGUUAAUUCAAUCUCUCAUUCAAAACUUUUUUUAAAUUAAAGAAUGUUUUAUUCAUGGUUUUCUUUUUAAAAUAUUCGCUGUCAGUUAAAGGUAUGAAGUACAUGUACACACAUGUAUACAACAUUAAGACUUCUCUUUAGAAGAUCCAAUUCAGUUCCAAUUGAUCAAUGAUGGACAGAAUCAACUACACCCAGAGAAGGAACAUUGGGAAAUGAAUGUGGACUACUUGCAUUUUUUACCAGGUUAUUUUUACCUUCUGAAUGCAAUUUUUAUUGUGCAACAAGAGAACUGUACAAUCUGCACACAUAUAUUGUUUCUAGGAUAUACUAUAACAUAUUUAACAUGUAUAAGUCUGCCUGCCAUUUGGGGAGGGGAUGGAGGGAGGGAAGGGAAAAAUUAGAACAGAAAUGAGUGCAAGGGACAUUGUUGUAAAAAUUACCCAUGCAUAUGUUCUGUCAAUAAAAAACUAUAAUUAAAAAAAAAGACUUCUCUAACAAAAACAGAGGCAAAACCCAACCUUUACUCUAGCAGUAUAUAUGACUUUCUGUUGAGAGGAGGGGCAUCUUUUUCGUUAUCUAUUUGCUUGCCUCUUUGGUCAACAUAAUUAGUCAGAGUUAAUUUCCUUUAGAAUUCAAUAGAAUUAGAAUUUAGAAGUCAACUGGUUUUACUUGUUUCACUCUGAAUCACUCUUUUCAUGUUUCUCUGAGUUCCUCAUAGUGAUCAUUUCUUAAUACAUAAUAAUAUUCUAAUAGACAGUCAUCAUGGCCUACAUGUUAGAAAGUUUACUUUCAGAACCAGAGACUGAGUCCUCACUGACAUACAUAUGGUAUAAGUCUUGUCAAAUGACUUAAUCUCUAGUGUUCUAGGAAACUCUAAGACCAUAAGAUACAGAACAUCGCCUCUUUGAAUUCGUAGAGGAAAUUUCCUCACCAGAAUUUCUCUAACUUGAAAAAAUCAAGGCUCAGGCCAAAAAAUUAAGCUAUAUUCCAUCUCACAUGAUUGUAUAUGUAUAUAGAUUGCUCCCCGUCUCAGGGAGGAAUUGAAGGGAAGAAGGGAGAGUGGAAUUUGGAACUCAAAACUUAAAAAAAUAAUGAAUGGUAAAAAUUAUUCUUAUAUAUAAUUGGGGAGAAAUAUUAUUUUAAAAUAUAUACAUAUAUAUUUCAUUUCAUGAAUACAUUAUGUUUUGUUUAGUACUUCCACAAUCAACGAGCCCCUAUUUUGUCUGCAAUUAUUUGCUAUCACAAAAGUGCUGCUUUCUUUCUUUUUCUCUCAUGAACAUUGAAAAUCUCCUUUUUAAAGUCUUCCUUUACUUGUGCAGAGAUCAUUUUGAAGUUUUUUUUCAUAAGUCUCAAGUGUAUCUUGGUAGACUAUUUUCUGCAUAGGUAUAGAUUUUGUAGUUAUUUUUAUUUUUUUUAAUAAUAGCUUUUUAUUUUCAAAAUAUAUGCAGAUAGUUUUCAACAUUCAAUCUUGUGUUCCAUUUUUUCUCCCUUUCUUCCCCUCACCCCUUCCCCUAGUCAGCAAGUAAUUCAAUAUAUAUUAAAAAUGUGUAAUUCUUCUAUACAUAUUUCCACAAUUGUCAUGCUGCACAAGAAAAGUCAGAUCAAAAAGGAAAAAAUGAGAAAGAAAACAAAAAGCAAGCAAACAACUACAAAAAUGGUAAAAAUACUAUGUUGUAAAUCACAUUCAGUCCUCAACAGUUCUCUUUCUGAAUGCAGUCCUCUCUCUGGGUGCAGAUGGCUCUCUCCAUCACAAAUCUAUGAGAAUUGACCUGCAUCACCUUAUUGUUGAAAAGAGCCAUGUCUGUCGAAUUGAUCAUCAUAUAGUAUUGUUGUUGAAGUAUAUAAUGUUCUCCUGAUCCUGCUCAUUUCACUCAGCAGCAGUACAUGUAAGUCUCUCCAGUCCUCUCUGAAAUCAUUGUGCUGAUCAUUUCUGAUAGAACAAUAAUAUUCCAUAACAUUCAUAUACCAUAACUUAUUCAGCCAUUCUCCAACUGAUGGGCAUCUAUUCAGUUUCCAGUUCCUUGCCACUUUUGUAGUUAUUUUGAGAUGGAAUUUCUUUUUCUAUCUUUUCUUCUUGAUUUUUGUUAGUAACAAAUGAAAUAUUAGUGAUGUUUGUAAAUUUAUUUUCUAUCCUUCUAAUUUGUAAAUCAUUAAACAUUUAAUCGUAUGAAUUUUGAUGAUUCUCUGGAGUAAAAGGCUUACUUUGUGUGUCACUAAAAAUGGUACUGAAACAUGUAGGAAGCAUGGACUGUAUAAAUUUGUAAAAAUGGCAACAAUAGAAAUGAACUGAUUUAAAUAGAACCUGCAAUCUAUUUUGGAUAUCCAAAAGGAAAAAGAACUUUUGAAAUUACUAAGCUAAAUGUGGAAAUGUGUUUUGCAUGGCUUCAUAUGUAUAAUGGAUAUUAUAAUUCUUGCAUUUUCAGUGGGUAUGAGAGUAGGUGAAAGGAGGAAGAGAAUUUGGAACUUAAAAAAAAAAGAAAUUACUAAGCUAACUAAUCACCACCCAUUUUGUCAAUAGUGAGUCUUGCUCUAUAAAAGACAUCAGUCUCCCAGCUUGCACACAUUAUCAACCAAACCUGUUUCUGGAAAGAAGGGAAGUCAAGAGUAUAGAGAAUAUGUCAGAACUGGAAACAGCCAUGGCAAUGCUCAUUGAUGUCUUUGACCGGUAUGCAGGAUCUGAAGGCAACAAGGAGACUCUGACUAAAGGGGAACUAAAGACCCUGAUAGAAAAAGAGUUCCCAAACUUUGUUAAGGUAAGAGUUUAUUACUGAGCAGCCACAAAGUCAGGACAGCUGGUUUCUAAUCCCAGGUUUGUCAUUAAUUAUUUGUAUAAUAUCAUUUAACUUCUCUGGGUUCAGCUUCUUCAUCAGUAAAAUGAGAUGGGGAAGGAAGUUUGAGGUAAAGAUUGCUGGAGGAUGAGAAAUAAGUUUUUAACUUCCUUUCCAUCUCUAUAUCUAUGAUUCAAAGAAAUUCUAUAAAAUUGACAGUUCUUGACUAUGGAAGGAUGUGCUUCUAGAGGUAACUAUUGUUAGUUUACAUCGCUCAUGUUUAAAAAAUGUUUAAUGAUUUAUAAAGUCUCUUCUCUGUAAAAAUAAGAUACUAGUUUCACUUUGGAUAAGUUUAAAAGUGCUUUUUAAAUGGAAGGUUCCUAUUGUUACUGUUGUAAUUACUUGUUUUAUUAUCCCCAUUUUACAGAUGAGAAAACUUAAGAUCAAU